UGCUAGGAGUGCAGUUAUUUCUGUACCAGACUCAGCGGAUCCAGUUUGUUGAAGUUAGUGACACCGCCAAGAUCCACUGUUCUUCCAAAGAAAACUUGGAAGGAGGAAGUAACAUGUUUUGGUAUUUGAGAAGAGAAGGUGAGAAACCCACCUGCAUUAAGCGCUGUUUGGAUGAUCAAAAUGUAAGUAAAUUUGCUUGCAAACACAAAACACACAGCUCAACCCUGGAAAUCAGCAACGUCCAAAAGAAUGACUCUGGCAUUUACUACUGUGCAUAUAAAUAUAGCAGCUACCUGCUUUUCGGGAAUGGAUCCACGCUGCUUGUUGGAG